GCCCGUAGCUCAGCUUGGUAGAGCGGCAGGCUCAUAACCUGACGGUCAAGGGUUCAAAUGACGGUGUCUGAAAAUCCCUUCGGGCCCA
rnacentral:tRNA from 1 species